UGAAUCAUGUUGGUAUUUGGGAUAUAUGGUUAUGGCAGGUUAAUUGAUGUUGAUUAUUGGUGUAUUUUGAUAUUUGAGGAUAGCUAAAAUUAAGGGGAAACUCUGUCAAAAUUUCCCCAAAUGUCUAAGAUAAAUCUAAUGCUCGAUCUAGGUGGUUUAAGGCAUUUUAGGCAUGUUUUGGGUAUGAAAUUUGAUAUGAAGUCUUAUGGGUAUUUUUUUUAAAUGAGAGUUCAAUGUAUUACUGCCAUCAUUAUGAUGAGAAAUCCAUGCUAUUGUCAGGAUAAGCACAUCAAUACCUAAGACAUCACUUGUUACACGGUGAAAUAUAUUGUGGACAAAAGGUAGAGAAAGAAAUAUGUGAAUGAUAUGAGGAGAACUGAAGCAUGGUCCUGACCCUGAUUUGUACAUAUGAACACAUCGACCUUUUUGUGGGUUAUUUCAGUUAUCAGUGAGAUGUUUGUAAUAAAGUAUGAAGUUAUGUUUUGAAAAUAAAUUGGGUUAUUUAAUACUUAUGUAUAAUAUGUUUGAGACA